AGUACAUCCUGACGCGUUGAGACUGAACUGCUGUCUCGCCUUUUCUCUCAAGGUGGUCGCUAAGGUGAAAAAUAUCAAGCGAAUCUUGUGAUAAAAACACGCUGGAACGCCAAUGACGUGUCGUCGACGUCACAAACGCGGAAGUGAAAGGCUUGCCUGUUUUUGACAGACCGCUAGCUAGCCACGAGUCCGUUAGCAUAACAACACAAGCCAGGGGAGCCCGAAUCCUUGAAAAGGUCAAAUAAGCUCAAGAUUGUCAUCUGUGCACCCAACAGUCAGUCAGAAUCCAAUUGCUACCAUGGGCAAGACGGGAGAGCGUACAAAAGACACCAGAGAAAAAAUUGUUGAGCUCCACAAAGCUGGAAAAGGCUAUGGGAGAAUUGGAAAGCAGCUUGCGAGCACAAUGAUCCCAUCAUGAUCCACCCCGAUGGCGUCUCCAAGCACAAGGCGAGCGCGCAACCGGGAGACGGGAGGCGACCUCCCGCCGAGAUGCUCCACCUGCUUUCCGCGAUCAUUGUUUGGCUAGUAACCGGCACGACCAUCUCUAGCCUCAACAAAUGGAUCUUUGCCGUGUACAACUUCAGGUACCCCCUCUUGCUGUCUGCUCUGCACAUGCUGACAGCCAUCGUGGUGGACUACGGCUUGAUUAAACUACGGGUGAUCAGCUGCACGGGGGUGGCGGAGCAGGACUUGACACCCGUGGCUAAAUGUAAAAUCUUCCUACUGAGCCUCACGUUUUGCGCCAGCAUCGCUUUCGGCAACAUGGGUCUGAACUACGUCCAGCUGUCCUUCGCGCAAAUGAUCUACACCACCACGCCGCUUUUCACUCUGGCCAUCUCCACUUUGAUCCUGGGCAAGCAGCAUCACAUCCUUAAGUACACAGCCAUGAUGCCCAUCUGCCUAGGGGCUUCCUUCAGUAUUAUGGGUGAGGUCCAGUACGACCAGACCGGCUGCUUGUUUGUCAUUGCGGCCACCAUGUUCAGGGGCGUCAAGUCCAUUCAACAGAGCAUUCUCCUCCAGGAAGAGAAGAUCAACUCGGUGUUCCUGCUCUACUUGAUGUCCAUCCCAAGCUUCUGCAUCUUGACCGUGGCGGCCCUGGCGCUGGAGAACUGGGCCCUGCUGGAGUCACCGCUGCACUACGACCGGCACCUUUGGGUCUUCAUCCUGCUCAGCUGCUUGGGCUCGGUCCUGUACAACCUGGCCAGCAGCUGCGUCAUCACGCUCACCUCGGCCGUCACCCUACACAUUCUGGGCAACCUGAGCGUAGUGGGCAACCUGCUACUGUCCCAGCUGCUCUUCGGCAGCGAGCUGUCCGCCUUGAGCUGCGCCGGCGCCGCGCUCACGCUGUCCGGCAUGCUAAUCUAUCAGAACUCCGAGCUCAUCGUCAGCUACGUGGACACGCGCAGAGCCAAAACGACAGAUUCCCAAGGUGGGGACAAAAUAAAUGAUGAUGAAAUGAGGAGUCGCCAGCAAAGAACAGAGCUGGAGAUGAAGAAUAAGACGGACUGAAGUGCAGGAAGGAAGUUCUGCUUAAGUAGGUGAGAGCAGCUAAAUUUAAAAGGACCACCACUCCUACCUGCGUCACUCCGACGUGAACUCCUUGGCGUAUUUAUGCAUGUAAGCACACUUCCACUCGUUUGGAUACCUCGCCAGAAUCACGGCACGUCACCUAAACUCCACUGCAAAGCGAACUGACGUUUAAAAACUGGGUGGCUUAGCAUACUGUAAUGUGUAGGAUGGACUGUUACAUUGUAAAGGUCGACCGAUAUAUCGGCUCGAUAUAUGUACGUUUUAUUCAAGAUCGGGUGAUAUCAGCAGAUUUAAUAGGAUAACAGUUGCGUUCACUGUUUGCGUGUUCUUUUUUUAAUUGAGAUUUUGCACUACCUAGUGGCAAGUGUUACAAAAAGAUGUAGCUGGAAAAAAAUUGAACUUCUAAUAUAUACACUUACUGUAUAAAAUGAGUGUUUCAAUUGCUUUGUUAUGAUAAUGUCGGCUUACAAAACCGGCUUUAAACAUGUUUUUUUUUUUUUUUUUUUUUUUUUUUUUAAUCCCUAUUGGCCUCUGAAAAUCUCAUAUCGGUCGACCUUUAGUACUUAGAACCCUGGUCCUUAAUCCUGUUCAGGGUCUAGGCUUCUGGCAGCUUUUUUUUUCUUGUUUAAUGUUAUGACACAGAUUGCAGUGAAUAAAUCUCCACUAGAAGCACACGUUAAACAUCCACUGAAGGCGAUAGACGUCAAUAUAUUUGAAGUGGGAAGGUUGUGACGUCUACUAGUGUUAAACUCAUUAUCUCACUCUUUAACUGUGUUUUACUUACAUUUUAUUCCAUGUUUAAUUUUCCUCCUCCAUUUUAUUUAAGAAUCUUUUUUUUUUUUUUUUAAUAUUUGAACAUUCAUCGUCAGUGUUACUGUUGUCGGGCGGAAUAUUGACAAGAAACACUUGUAAAUGUACACAUUUGCCAAAUGCUUACGUGGGUUUAAGCGUUUUCUUUGCACUGUGGUGUCAACCUGGUUACCAGGAAGACGCCAAAGCCGUCCAUUUUUUGUUUUCGUUUAGCUCUAAUCAUAAUUGACGGUUACAACAUGGAUUAUUUGACGAAUAACGAGAAUUAUUCUUAUUUAAUGAGACGUCGCUGUACAAGAUGUUCAUGUUCAGCCUCCACAAUUUCAUUGAUAGAUUUAACUUUAAAAAGAUAGUUUAGCGAUGAAGCACUAUUAAAUACCUCAAGCAGCUUUUCAACAGCAGUGCGAGAACUGCUAAGAACGGGGUUAACGCGCGCCAUAUACAGCUGCUGGUUGGAUGUACUUAUGUUGUUAUUAUUUAGUUGGUGUAUUUUUACUGUUAAGAAUGCAUAAGGCCUUAUUGAGACAUUCUUUAGCUUUUGCCAUUUUGUUUUGGAUGUCUUUAUAAAUGUUGGGGAGAUCAUGCAAACGCAAUCUGCUGUUUUUCUUCAUUAGGAAUAAAAACUGGUACGAUAAUUGAUUUGUGCAAUUUUCUUUCUCGCGCAACGCAGGGAAAUUUUCGAAAAGACCCCCCCCCCC